AGACCGUGAUGCGGGCAUUUCCUCAAUAGCUCCUUGAAUCUUUCCCAUGUCUCGUAUAAUGAUUCCCCGUCGUCUUGUGAGUAGGUGUUAAUUACGGUCAUGAGUUU
rnacentral:snoRNA from 1 species